GGCAGCACAGUAAGAGCUUGCUCUUACGGGUGGCGAGUGGCGGACGGGUGAGGAAUACAUCGGAAUCUACUCUGUCGUGGGGGAUAACGUAGGAAACUUACGCUAAUACCGCAUACGACCUUAGGGUGAAAGUGGGGGACCGCAAGGCCUCACGCGAUUGAAUGAGCCGAUGUCGGAUUAGCUAGUUGGCGGGGUAAAGGCCCACCAAGGCGACGAUCCGUAGCUGGUCUGAGAGGAUGAUCAGCCACACUGGAACUGAGACACGGUCCAGACUCCUACGGGAGGCAGCAGUGGGGAAUAUUGGACAAUGGGCGCAAGCCUGAUCCAGCCAUACCGCGUGAGUGAAGAAGGCCCUCGGGUUGUAAAGCUCUUUUGUUGGGAAAGAAAUCCUGUUGGUUAAUACCCGGCAGGGAUGACGGUACCCAAAGAAUAAGCACCGGCUAACUUCGUGCCAGCAGCCGCGGUAAUACGAAGGGUGCAAGCGUUACUCGGAAUUACUGGGCGUAAAGCGUGCGUAGGUGGUGAUUUAAGUCUGUUGUGAAAGCCCUGGGCUCAACCUGGGAAUUGCAGUGGAUACUGGGUCACUAAGUGUGGUAAGGGUGGCGGAUUCCCGGUGUACAUGAAAUGCGUAAAGACGGGAGACUCCGUGGCGAAGCGCACUGGCCAACUUGACUGAGCCGAAGCUGG
rnacentral:rRNA from 1 species